rnacentral:misc_RNA from 1 species
GAUGAAGAACGCAGCGAAAUGCGAUAAGUAAUGUGAAUUGCAGAAUUCAGUGAAUCAUCGAAUCUUUGAACGCACAUUGCGCCCGCCAGUAUUCUGGCGGGCAUGCCUGUUCGAGCGUCAUUACAACCCUCAGGCCCCCGGGCCUGGCGUUGGGGAUCGGCAGAAGCCCCCUGUGGGCACACGCCGUCCCUCAAAUACAGUGGCGGUCCCGCCGCAGCUUCCAUUGCGUAGUAGCUAACACCUCGCGACUGGAGAGCGGCGCGGCCACGCCGUAAAACACCCAACUCUUCUGAAGUUGACCUCGAAUCAGGUAGGAAUACCCGCUGAACUUAAGCAUAUCAAUAAGCGGAGGA